rnacentral:rRNA from 1 species
GGAGUCUAGCAUGUGCGCGAGUCAUUGGGAAUAACUAAACCUAAAGGCGCAAUGAAAGUGAAGGUCCGCCUUGCGCGGACCGAGGGAAGAUGGGCGUGCACGCUUGCGUGCCGCUCCGCACUCCCGGGGCGUCUCGUUCUCAUUGCGAGAAGAGGCGCACCAAGAGCGUACACGCUGGGACCCGAAAGAUGGUGAACUAUGCCUGGUCAGGACGAAGUCAGGGGAAACCCUGAUGGAGGUCCGUAGCGAUUCUGACGUGCAAAUCGAUCGUCGGAACUGGGUAUAGGGGCGAAAGACUAAUCGAACCAUCUAGUAGCUGGUUCCCUCCGAAGUUUCCCUCAGGAUAGCUGGCGCUCGUCGCCUACGAGUCUCAUCCGGUAAAGCGAAUGAUUAGAGGCAUUGGGGUCGAAACGGCCUCAACCUAUUCUCAAACUUUAAAUGGGUGAGAUCUCCGGCUUGCUCGAACUUAUGAAGCCGCGAGACACGGAUCAGAGUGCCAAGUGGGCCAUUUUUGGUAAGCAGAACUGGCGCUGUGGGAUGAACCAAACGCCGAGUUAAAGCGCCUAAAUCGACGCUUAUGGGAUACCAUGAAAGGCGUUGGUAACUUAAGACAGCAGGACGGUGGCCAUGGAAGUC